CGACUCGUCUCUUUAUCUUGAAUGGAGUUUAGCUUGGUGUUUAGUCUGCGGUUGUUACACCUUGACAAGAACACUAGCGUGAAAAGACAAGAAUGGAUCAGUAAUUAUCAGGAUGGCUUCCAAAAGUUCAAAAUCAGCUGCAAGUGGAAAAUCUCAAAGGGUAGCCUCAAGUGCAAAAUCUUCAACCUCUUUUGCCAGUACUGCAGGACGUGCACGAGCAAAGGCUGAAGCAGCUAAGAUAAGAUCAGAAUAUGCAACUAAACAACUAGAGCUAAAGCUGGCAGCGGCUAACAAGGAUUUAGAGGCAACUAGAAGAGAUGCAGAAAUACAGUUUGAAAGAACGAAACUACAAGCAGAACUUGAAGCCUUACGUCUACAAUGUGAAGCUGAAGCAACAGCCCGUGAGGCACAGGUUUUGGAAAUGGCUGAGGAUUUACAAAUUGUUGAUGAAGUAGUGGCAACAGAGCUUCAAGAUAAAAGGGAACUUACAAGUGAAUAUGUUCGUUCACAAAACGCUCUUAAAGAAAGCGCUUCUCCGCCACAUUUACCUGUUGAAAGCCAAUCGUACAAAGACCAGGAGAAAAGCUUUUUAACCCAUCAGACAUUGGUGGAUGAUGCUGCAAAGCCUUCACGAGGCAGCAUUACAAGAGAUUUUGAAGAAAGGGACAACAUGUACUUACCAUUAAUAGCGAAAGUGAAGAAGAAGAUUAAAGGGACAGAUAUUAAACAGGAAGAAACCAUAAAUCAAAACUGCCAACCAUACACUCCAAGACAGUUCAACGUGCAUGCUCAGCCUUUUUUCCCAAGUAAGGAUCCUGCAGUCUUACCAACACCUGCAACAGACCCUUUAGCACAGUACUUAGCCAGACGAGAUCUCACAAACUCGGGCCUGUACCAGUUUGAUGACAAACCUGAGAACUAUCGUGCAUGGUACGCAUCAUUUACUAGUAUAACCAGUGACAUUCAACUAAGUGCAGUUCAGCAACUCGACCUCAUGAUCAAGUGGCUUGGGAAAGAAUCCCGUGAAUAUGUCAAACGCAUACGGGCAGUUUAUGUCGGCAAUUCAUCCGAGGCACUAAACAAAGCAUGGGAACGGCUGGGGGAGUGUUAUGCUGCUCCAGAGAUAAUAGAGAAGUCACUUUUUGAGCGUCUUGAGAAUUUUCCAAAGCUCAGCGCAAGAGAUCACGUCAAACUCCGUGAGCUUGGAGACUUGUUGACAGAAAUACUUGGUGCCCAAGAAGACAGCUAUCUUACCGGUUUAUCUUAUUUGGAUACCUCCCGUGGCAUUUCACCAAUUGUAAGCAAGCUACCCUUUGGC
rnacentral:lncRNA from 1 species